GACGAACGCUGGCGGCGUGCCUAACACAUGCAAGUCGAGCGGGGAGAGAUUUUCGGAUUUCUCUUUAGCGGCGGACGGGUGAGUAACACGUGGGUAACCUGCCUCAAAGAGGGGGAUAGCCUUCCGAAAGGAAGAUUAAUACCGCAUAAUAUCAGGAAGCUGCAUGGCAUUCUGAUUAAAGGAGCAAUCCGCUUUGAGAUGGACCCGCGGCGCAUUAGCUAGCUGGUGAGGUAACGGCCCAACAAGGCGACGAUGCGUAGCCGACCUGAGCGGGUGAUCGGCCACAUUGGAACGGAGACACGGUCCAGACUCCUACGGGAGGCAGCAGUGGGGAAUAUUGCACAAUGGGGGAAACCCUGAUGCAGCAACGCCGCGUGAGUGAUGAAGGCCUUCGGGUCGUAAAGCUCUGUCCUGUGGGACGAAACGAAUGACGGUACCCAAGGAGGAAGCCCCGGCUAACUACGUGCCAGCAGCCGCAGUAACAC
rnacentral:rRNA from 1 species